rnacentral:rRNA from 1 species
GAUGAACGCUGGCGGCGUGCCUAAUACAUGCAAGUCGAGCGAACGGACGAGAAGCUUGCUUUUCUGAUGUUAGCGGCGGACGGGUGAGUAACACGUGGAUAACCUACCUAUAAGACUGGGAUAACUUCGGGAAACCGGAGCUAAUACCGGAUAAUAUUUUGAACCGCAUGGUUCAAAAGUGAAAGACGGUCUUGCUGUCACUUAUAGAUGGAUCCGCGCUGCAUUAGCUAGUUGGUAAGGUAACGGCUUACCAAGGCAACGAUGCAUAGCCGACCUGAGAGGGUGAUCGGCCACACUGGAACUGAGACACGGUCCAGACUCCUACGGGAGGCAGCAGUAGGGAAUCUUCCGCAAUGGGCGAAAGCCUGACGGAGCAACGCCGCGUGAGUGAUGAAGGUCUUCGGAUCGUAAAACUCUGUUAUUAGGGAAGAACAUAUGUGUAAGUAACUGUGCACAUCUUGACGGUACCUAAUCAGAAAGCCACGGCUAACUACGUGCCAGCAGCCGCGGUAAUACGUAGGUGGCAAGCGUUAUCCGGAAUUAUUGGGCGUAAAGCGCGCGUAGGCGGUUUUUUAAGUCUGAUGUGAAAGCCCACGGCUCAACCGUGGAGGGUCAUUGGAAACUGGAAAACUUGAGUGCAGAAGAGGAAAGUGGAAUUCCAUGUGUAGCGGUGAAAUGCGCAGAGAUGUGGAGGAACACCAGUGGCGAAGGCGACUUUCUGGUCUGUAACUGACGCUGAUGUGCGAAAGCGUGGGGAUCAAACAGGAUUAGAUACCCUGGUAGUCCACGCCGUAAACGAUGAGUGCUAAGUGUUAGGGGGUUUCCGCCCCUUAGUGCUGCAGCUAACGCAUUAAGCACUCCGCCUGGGGAGUACGACCGCAAGGUUGAAACUCAAAGGAAUUGACGGGGGCCCGCACAAGCGGUGGAGCAUGUGGUUUAAUUCGAAGCAACGCGAAGAACCUUACCAAAUCUUGACAUCCUUUGACAACUCUAGAGAUAGAGCCUUCCCCUUCGGGGGACAAAGUGACAGGUGGUGCAUGGUUGUCGUCAGCUCGUGUCGUGAGAUGUUGGGUUAAGUCCCGCAACGAGCGCAACCCUCAAGCUUAGUUGCCAUCAUUAAGUUGGGCACUCUAAGUUGACUGCCGGUGACAAACCGGAGGAAGGUGGGGAUGACGUCAAAUCAUCAUGCCCCUUAUGAUUUGGGCUACACACGUGCUACAAUGGACAAUACAAAGGGCAGCGAAACCGCGAGGUCAAGCAAAUCCCAUAAAGUUGUUCUCAGUUCGGAUUGUAGUCUGCAACUCGACUACAUGAAGCUGGAAUCGCUAGUAAUCGUAGAUCAGCAUGCUACGGUGAAUACGUUCCCGGGUCU